AAAAGAAUGGCUGAGUGGUUUAAAGCGAAGAUCUGCUAAAUCUUUGUAUAGAAGAAUCUAUACCGAGGGUUCGAAUCCCUCUUCUUUUA
rnacentral:tRNA from 1 species